rnacentral:lncRNA from 1 species
UGGAUUUGUAUUAGGAACAGAAAUAGUAGUGUUGGAAACUUUAGGCAAAAAGUAAUCUCCAACAUAUGAUCUGGAAUUUUUGUACUGUUAUAGCUUUUCAUCUUUAGCCUGUCAUUUCUUUCCGCUGAUUGAUCAGCGCCCAAAAACACAUCUUAAGCCGACAAAAAGAAAUGAAUGUAAAAGACGAUCCGUUACUUGUCCAGGAAUUAGCUCCACGCGGCUCCAUAUGACCAACUUGGUGCUCUGGUUGACAGGCAUCCGUUGGUGUAGCAGACGUUUAAGCUGGGUUGUUGCUGAACAUUGUAACGCACAAGUUCGCGAACAUUGACUCGUUGAGUUUGUUAUAUACAGUAUUUCCCCC